GGCACAUAACCGCCUGACAAGUUGGGGGACAGUGAUGGUACCUUGUCCAGGCAGCAGCUGAGCUAAGCUGAAUGGCUCCCUAGCUCGGGGCAGAAGAAAACUUGCCCAUCUCCUCUGCCCACUAAACUGGCAGAGUGCCCUGCAGGCUUAAAAUCUGCGGGUACCCCGAGGGUUUAAGAUCCCGGUGAGGUGUGGACAUGGCUCACGAGACACUUGGGAAGCAGACUCGGUCAGGUCCCUUGACACACCACCACACGGUGGCAAGGCCCAGACCUCUCUGCCAUCACCUUGGGCAUCACGCAUUCAGGAGCCAGUCUUUACAGCCCCGUGUGUGCAGCCACAUCCCCUCUUUAUGGGAAGCAGGAAUCGGAAAGUAAAUGAACUCAGUGACAACCCCUCACAAAACCAGAUCGAGGCACAGCCCCAGGGUGCCGAGGCAGCUUCAGGAACAAGUGUGUGAGGCUCACACCAGCUGAGAUGGAGAGUCCCACGCGCCCCAAGGGGCCAGGGACAUGCAUGUUCUUUUAGGCAAGGCAAGGGCAUGGCUUCCCCUUUCAGGCCCUGCCUGCUGUAAAGGGACCACCGGUGUGGGAACAAUGGUAGGGUGGGGCCACCGAGUCAUAGUGGAGGGGGGGGGCCUUCAUAUACAAGUGCACAAAGACUGGCCAGCAGAGCAGACGAAUGUUAACAGCAAGAGCAGGUGGGCAGGCCUCAGCCCUCCUCCCUUGCCCCUGCCUUCAGCCGAAGCCACCUGUCCUGGGAACAUGACCCGCCACCGUGUGAACAGGGGGAGUGAAGCCCCCCGGCGGGGGUGGGAGCAGGAGCAGACAGAGGACCCGGAGGAUGUCCAGGCAGAAGGGGGGACCCACAGAGAGCGCCACUACAGACACCAGCGCUGCUCCCUAAGGAGGCGGUACAGGGUCCGCAGGCGGCGGAGACGCACCUGCAGGGGCCGCCAGAGAGGCUACAGAAGGGUCAGGGGGAGGAGAUGCAAGAGCCGACACUAAGCUUUCCUGGGCCCAUCACACCCCUGGAAGGAAAUGAAGGAAAAAGCACCCGUCAGAGAGCCACCUCGAGAGACCAAAGCGAUCCCCCCCGACGCUGGAUGCCCACCCCACUCCACCCCCCUGGAGUCGGUCAGGAGCCCACAGCCUCUUGACUAAAAUGCGCAAAAGUCAUCUGCCGAAUAAAGCCUGACAUAACAGA